rnacentral:misc_RNA from 1 species
GAAGAACCCCUAGAACUGAGCAUCAUCCCAUCCCAGUCGCCAUCAUCACCAUGGUACGCAAGGCGAAGGUGGAGUUCGACGACGCCCCGCCGGACUUCGAUCCGGCCCACCCCUACGCCGAUCCGGUGGCGAUGCUCGAGUACCGCGAGUACCUCGUCCGCGAGAAGUGGAUCAAGAUCGAGACGGCCAAGAUCAUCCGAGAACGUCUCCAGUGGUGCUAUCGCAUCGAGGGCGUCAAUCACCUCCAGAAGUGCCGCCAUCUCGUCGACGAGUACCUCGAGGCCACUCGCGGCGUCGGAUGGGGCAAGGACCACCGCCCGCACGAGCUUCAUGGCCCCAAGAAGGCCGC